GACGAACCGUGCGAACGUUGUUCGGAAUCACUGGGCUUAAAGGGCGCGUAGGCGGACACUCAAGUCGGUGGUGAAAUCCUCCGGCUCAACCGGAGAAGAGCUGUCGAUACUGGGUGUCUCGAGGGGUGUAGGGGUCUGUGGAACUUUGGGUGGAGCGGUGAAAUGCGUAGAGAUCCAAAGGAACGCCGGUGGCGAAAGCGACGGACUGGACACCUUCUGACGCUGAGGCGCGAAAGCCAGGGGAGCAAACAGG
rnacentral:rRNA from 1 species